rnacentral:rRNA from 1 species
GAUGAACGCUGGCGGCGUGCCUAAUACAUGCAAGUCGAGCGAACAGACGAGGAGCUUGCUCCUCUGACGUUAGCGGCGGACGGGUGAGUAACACGUGGAUAACCUACCUAUAAGACUGGGAUAACUUCGGGAAACCGGAGCGAAUACCGGAUAAUAUAUUGAACCGCAUGGUUCAAUAGUGAAAGACGGUUUUGCUGUCACUUAUAGAUGGAUCCGCGCCGCAUUAGCUAGUUGGUAAGGUAACGGCUUACCAAGGCGACGAUGCGUAGCCGACCUGAGAGGGUGAUCGGCCACACUGGAACUGAGACACGGUCCAGACUCCUACGGGAGGCAGCAGUAAGGAAUCUUCCGCAAUGGGCGAAAGCCUGACGGAGCAACGCCGCGUGAGUGAUGAAGGUCUUCGGAUCGUAAAACUCUGUUAUUAGGGAAGAACAAAUGUGUAAGUAACUAUGCACGUCUUGACGGUACCUAAUCAGAAAGCCACGGCUAACUACGUG